AACGAACGCUGGCGGCUUGCCUAACACAUGCAAGUCGAACGAUACCUUCUGGUCUUGUUGCGCACCGUUGCGUCCCGCCUGGGAACCUACCCGUAGGUUCCGAAUAACUCCCUGAGAGGGAUGCUCAGACCGCAGGAUGUCUUCUCACCAAAGAUUUAUCGCAUUUUGCUGGGCCCGCGUUGGAUUAGCUGGUUGGUAGGGUAAAAGCCUACCAAGGCGAGGUUCCAUAGCUGGUCUGAUAGGAUGAUCAGCCACACUGGAACUGAGACACGGCCCAGACUGGUACGGGAGGCAGCAGUGGAGAACAUUGGACACUGGGCGAAAGCCUGAUCCCGCAAGGACGCGUGAGUGAUGACGGGAUUAGGGUUGUAAAGCUCUUUUACGCGGGAUGAUAAUGACAGUACUGGGAGAAGAAGCUCCGGCUAACUCCGUG
rnacentral:rRNA from 1 species